CUUGGUCAUUUAGAGGAAGUAAAAGUCGUAACAAGGUUUCCGUAGGUGAACCUGCGGAAGGAUCAUUACCGAGUGAGGGCCCUCUGGGUCCAACCUCCCACCCGUGUUUAUUUUACCUUGUUGCUUCGGCGGGCCCGCCUUAACUGGCCGCCGGGGGGCUUACGCCCCCGGGCCCGCGCCCGCCGAAGACACCCUCGAACUCUGUCUGAAGAUUGUAGUCUGAGUGAAAAUAUAAAUUAUUUAAAACUUUCAACAACGGAUCUCUUGGUUCCGGCAUCGAUGAAGAACGCAGCGAAAUGCGAUACGUAAUGUGAAUUGCAAAUUCAGUGAAUCAUCGAGUCUUUGAACGCACAUUGCGCCCCCUGGUAUUCCGGGGGGCAUGCCUGUCCGAGCGUCAUUUCUGCCCUCAAGCACGGCUUGUGUGUUGGGCCCCGUCCUCCGAUCCCGGGGGACGGGCCCGAAAGGCAGCGGCGGCACCGCGUCCGGUCCUCGAGCGUAUGGGGCUUUGUCACCCGCUCUGUAGGCCCGGCCGGCGCUUGCCGAUCAACCCAAAUUUUUAUCCAGGUUGACCUCGGAUCAGGUAGGGAUACCCGCUGAACUUAAGCAUAUCAAUAAGCGGAGGAAA
rnacentral:rRNA from 1 species